GGAACAAGUCGGGCAAUCGCUUUUGUGAUUAAAGACAAAAGAGGAAAGUCCGAACACUAAAGGGCGGCGAGCCGGAUAACAACCGGGCGUUCGGUUUACCGAACGACGACAAGUGCAACAGAGAAUAGACCAGCCAAUCCGAUUUGGAAUGUAAUAGUUUGAAUUUGGAUUGGUGAUGGGUGAAACGGUGCGGUUCUUUUUGAGCUUAAAGUAAGAGCGCACCAGCGCAUUUGGUAACAAGUGCGGCUGGGUAAACUCCUCGCAGUGCAAGACCAAAUAGGGAAACGCUUAUGAGUUGCCCGCUCAAUCUUCUAGAGAAAUUUAGAAAAUGUUUCCGGGUAGGUCGCUUGAGCUGUUUGGCAACAUACAGCCUAGAUGAAUGAUUGCCAUCUGUUUUUUUUGACAGAUACAAAAUUCGGCUUAUAGACUUGUUCAUUUU
rnacentral:RNase_P_RNA from 1 species